GACGAACGCUGGCGGCGUGCCUAAUACAUGCAAGUAGAACGCUGAAGGAGGAGCUUGCUUCUCUGGAUGAGUUGCGAACGGGUGAGUAACGCGUAGGUAACCUGCCUGGUAGCGGGGGAUAACUAUUGGAAACGAUAGCUAAUACCGCAUAAUAGCAGUUGUUGCAUGACAACUGUUUGAAAGGUGCAAUUGCACCACUACCAGAUGGACCUGCGUUGUAUUAGCUAGUUGGUGGGGUAACGGCUCACCAAGGCGACGAUACAUAGCCGACCUGAGAGGGUGAUCGGCCACACUGGGACUGAGACACGGCCCAGACUCCUACGGGAGGCAGCAGUAGGGAAUCUUCGGCAAUGGACGGAAGUCUGACCGAGCAACGCCGCGUGAGUGAAGAAGGUUUUCGGAUCGUAAAGCUCUGUUGUAAGAGAAGAACGAGUGUGAGAGUGGAAAGUUCACACUGUGACGGUAUCUUACCAGAAAGGGACGGCUAACUACGUC
rnacentral:rRNA from 1 species